GGGGGGACAGCACCCCCAGCUUUUUGUUUGUUUGUUUGUUUUGUUUUUUUGUUUUGUUUUUUGCCCAGCCUGUUUGUCUAGGGAAACUCGGACCCACGGGCCCUCCUUUUCCCUUACGUGCAAUCUUGAGCAGUGUUCUUCGUCCACUCCUGACCGACAGACAGCACAGCCAGAAUCUCCUGCAGCCCAAGCUGGCCUGGAAUUUGCUAUGUAGCAUGGAUGACCUUGAAAUUCUGGUUCUCCUGUCUCUGCUUCUCAAGUGCUGGACUUACAGAGAGCCUUCUAUUCCAACACCACUUAUCCAGUGCCCUGGUCAGGUGUGGCCAGUGGAAGCAAAAGCCCAUUGAGGUCGCCCAAGCUCCAGUGCAUGGACUGCCAUAGGAAUGACUUCACGAAGUAGGUGGCCUUGUGUGAUUGGCUCCUUUUCCUUGGUUCAUAUGUGUUGCUGUGUCAAAGCACUCACCCAUCCUUGUUUCUUCUCAUGGAUAGACAGACCACCUUCAAUGGCAGACAGACCACCUUCCAGUUUCUAAUCCCAAGUGCUGGGAUCACAGGUGUGCGUGGAGACACUUGAUUUGCUUGGUGCUGGGAAGAGAACCCAUGGCUUCUUGCAUGCUGUUCUACCAACCGAGCCGUAUCGCCAUCCUGCUUUUCACCUCCUGAG